UACCUGGUUUAUCCUGCAAGUAGUCAUAUGCUUGUCUCAAAGAUUAAGCCAUGCAUAUCUAAGUAUGAACUAAUUCAGACUGUGAAACUGCGGAUGGCUCAUUAAAUCAGUUAUAGUUUCUUUGAU
rnacentral:ncRNA from 1 species